UACUUCGUCAAGUAUAUGAAGCUAAACGUGUUUUAAUUCUAAGCACUUUCAAUAUUUAGACACUUUCCUAAACACGUUUAGAACUACAACACAUUUAGGCCAUAGACGGCAUUCAUAUCACGUGAUAACUUUUGAGCGGGAGGAAGAAACAAAGAACCCGAAGUCAAAGGCCACGCUGUUUACUACUGACCUUAACUGACCGUAACUUGACUGUUUCAGAAAGACUGAUGAGAGAAGUGCAGAGGAAAUCGUCAUCUGUCUUUAACAUGCUACAAGAGGAGGUAAAGAACAGUGGCAAAUCUGUUGCCAGGCCAGUGACAGCAGAUGGGUACUAAGAAAGGAGAAGCUCCAUGACUUAUUGUCCUGCAAAAUGAAAACAGGACAGUUUCAAAUUGUUUUGUUGCAGGGGAUGGGGUACAAGUAGAAGUAGGAGUGGUCAUUAACAAUAUUAUGUACAUGUACCUUGUUAUGAACUUAUG